rnacentral:rRNA from 1 species
GACGAACGCUGGCGGCGUGCUUAACACAUGCAAGUCGAACGGAAAGGCCCUGCUUUUGUGGGGUGCUCGAGUGGCGAACGGGUGAGUAACACGUGAGUAACCUGCCCUUGACUUUGGGAUAACUUCAGGAAACUGGGGCUAAUACCGGAUAGGAGCUCCUGCUGCAUGGUGGGGGUUGGAAAGUUUCGGCGGUUGGGGAUGGACUCGCGGCUUAUCAGCUUGUUGGUGGGGUAGUGGCUUACCAAGGCUUUGACGGGUAGCCGGCCUGAGAGGGUGACCGGCCACAUUGGGAAUGAGAUACGGCCCAGACUCCUACGGGAGGAAGAAGUGGGGAAUAUUGCAAAAUGGGCGGAAGCCUGAUGCAGCAACGCCGCGUGCGGGAUGACGGCCUUCGGGUUGUAAACCGCUUUCGCCUGUGACGAAGCGUGAGUGACGGUAAUGGGUAAAGAAGAACCGGCUAACUACGUG